rnacentral:misc_RNA from 1 species
UUCGAGCGUCAGUACAACACUCAAGCCUAGCUUGGUCUUGGGCCUCGCCGGAAACGGCGGGCCUUAAAAUCAGUGGCGGCGCCUGUUAGGCCCUAAGCGUAGUAAUACUCCUCGCUAUAGGGACCCGGCAGACGCUGGCCAGCAACCCCCAACUUUCUAAGUUUGACCUCGGAUCAGGUAGGGAUACCCGCUGAACUUAA